GGAUUUAACUCUUCUGAAAUCACUGCACCAAGACCACUCUUAAUGCAUUUAGCAGCAAUUAAUUCUCAAAGCCAAAACAGCUGCACAUUGCUGACGCUCUCCAGAUGCAAGUUUGUCGAGCAGAAUGCUUCAUGUUGAGCUGCACACAAGUCUUCACUGAAUUAAGGAAUGAACAAACAGGAUUUCUACAAUCAACAAACCCACGUGCUUACCCACAGUCCCUAUAAAUACAGAGCUACUCUAUAAACAAACACUCUGUCCUACAGCGAGACAAUAAUUUGCCUCUUUAGAGCAGACUCAUUAAAGGGAAAUCAUUUUGUAAUAACAAA